UACGUAGGGGGCAAGCGUUGUCCGGAAUCAUUGGGCGUAAAGAGCGUGUAGGCGGCUCGGUAAGUCCGCUGUGAAAGUCCAGGGCUCAACCCUGGAAUGCCGGUGGAAACUGUCGAGCUAGAGUCCGGAAGAGGCGAGUGGAAUUCCUGGUGUAGCGGUGAAAUGCACAGAUAUCAGGAGGAACACCGGGUGGCGAAAGGCGGCCUUCUGGGCCGGUACUGACGCUGAGGAGCGAAAGCUAGGGGAGCGAACAGG
rnacentral:rRNA from 1 species